rnacentral:rRNA from 1 species
UACGGGGGGAGCAAGCGUUGUUCGGAUUUACUGGGCGUAAAGGGCGCGUAGGCGGCACAGCAAGUCGGGAGUGAAAGCCCGGGGCUCAACCCCGGAAUGGCUUUCGAAACUGCUGAGCUAGAGUACAGAAGGGGCAACCGGAAUUCCCAGUGUAGCGGUGAAAUGCGUAGAUAUUGGGAAGAACACCUGAGGCGAAGGCGGGUUGCUGGGCUGAUACUGACGCUGAGGUGCGAAAGCGUGGGGAGCAAACAGG